CAUAUUUACUUUAUUCUUCAGGAUCAAAGUUACUCCAAGUACAGUAGACCAAUUACUUUGAUCAUCUUUUAAAGUACUAACUUCCACAAGUAAACCAAUUCUUUACUGUUUAAUACAAAAAGCUGUCUUGUAAGAUUAUAAAACUACAGAUGCUGACUUUCUAACUAAAAUGUUACCUUGCUAGCAUUUCACUUUUUCUUCUUCAGACUGAUAUCUGAUUUUUAUUAACAUUUAACUUUUUUUGGGGGGGGGGCAUUGAUUUUUUGGAGGCGGAGUAUUCUCUGUGUAGCCCUGGCUAUCCUGGAACUCAUUCUGUAAACCAGGCAGAUUUGCCUGCCUCUGCCUCUACCUCCCGACGGCUGGGUUUAACAGUGUGUACCACCACUGGUUAUAAAUGUCCUCAUAUGACUGAUUUCUCUCUCUCUCUCUCUCUCUCUCUCUCUCUCUCUCUCUCUCUGAAACACACACUGUUUGUUUGACCCUGCCAGCCUGUCCUAGAAACAUAACUUGGUUAAGAACAGGCUGGCUUCCAACACACUUUUGCUGGGGUUAAAGGUUAAGUGUCACCACUCCCAGCACCUGGCAUUCUAUUUGAUGAUGUUUGUUCGUAUCCUUCAGUGCUGGUUGAACUGUAGACAGACAAAUGGAGGGAUGGGACUCAGACUCAGACACACACACACACACACACACACACACACACACACACACACACACACAACCAGAGACACAUGAGUGAAAUUUGAAAUUAAAUUUAAUGUACAACAAAGUAACAGAAAAAGAAAUGAAAAGCAGGCACUGAAUAACCUUCCCAGAGUCACAGAAACAAAAGGAAGGUGGGUGUGGUAGUGCACGCCUUUAAUCCCCGUCAUUUAGGGGAAGACAGAGACAAGUUUGGAACUCUGUGAAUUGCAGGCAGGCCUUGUCUAGGUAUUCUGAUUUCCAAGGCUAUGUGCAACUAAUUCACUGAAAAUGUGGAAUCAGUUUUUUUUUUUUUCUCUUCCAUCCUCAUCCACACUAGCCCCCCCCCCCCCCCCCCCCCCCCCCCCCCCCCCCCCGGGGGGGGGGGCGCCGGCGGCUUUGGUGACUUCUAGUACUCGGUUCGAUUCGCCACGCCCGUGCGGCGACGCCCAUUCGACGUCUGCCCUAUCAAUUUUCGAUGUAGUCGAUGUGCUACA
rnacentral:lncRNA from 1 species